UGUGAACUGCAGUUGGUCUCAGGAGGGACAGAGGCGAGAGGCAGAGGAACAAGGCGAGAGGAGCAAACAGGAAACUGCAGAGACAUAUCAAGGUUCAACCACAGUUUGGGUCAUAUCCUCUUGAUCUUGACAUUUGUUUUUCCGACGUGAGACGUCUUUAGUAGUUCAGUUACAGCAUGUAACAUAUAAUAGUCAGUAUUGUCUGGUUUGCCACAACAGCACCUCAGACAAGCGAUGGUGACGAGGAUGAUGAUGAUGACUACAGCAUCUACAGGAAGAAGAGCUCUUCUGAUGCUGCUGCAAACCUGUUUCUUUUUCCUGUCUCUCUUCGCUGCUCAAAACAAAUGGUUGUUGAGAAAAAAGAAGAAGAGAAUAAAAUGAAAAGAAAAGAAUAAAUGCAGACUAAAAUAAUUCUACCCAUCUGUUGUAGGGCUCUAUCUGACUGACAAUUUGUAAGGCGGAUACAGUAAUUGGGUAUCAUCAAUUCACUUAUGAGUGCAGGCAGAAAAACACAGACACAGGAGGCCUCAGCAUUUGGUCACAUGAUGAUGAUGACCGUUUACUAAGGAGAGACAAGUAAAAGUCAGAUAUGGCAACCAACUUUAAUGACACUACCAGCAACCAAAACCUGAACAACUGCUUGAACAAAUUCAGUAAAUUUGUUAUUUCACUGCAACGGAGAGAGCAUUCACCAUCGGUGAAGAUGAGAUGAGAGGAUUGAGAAGGGAACACAUUGUGAUCUGGACUAGAGCACAUAAAAAGAGGCCAGAGUGUGUUUGUGUUUGCAGGUCAGAUGGCAUUGGAGAGGACACAAGCGCGUCAUAUACACACAGAGAGAGGCCCAUAUGGUGCCAGAGACAGCUACAGGGGAGCCUCUCACGGCUGUUGGGAGAUACAGUUUGUGCCAGGGCGAUGAGGGCACAGGGCUUAUGGCCUGGUAUCAACAACACAAUCAGAAGGAUGGAGGAAUAUUGGAAAAAAUAAAAAUAGAAAUGGAAAAUGGUAAAAAUGAGAGCAAACUUUAAGGGAGACAUGGAAGGGGAACUUAGAGUGAGCGCUACAGUACGUGUGAGUUGCCUGUCUGCCUUUGCUUGAGUGCUUUCACUUUAGCUCAGACUGCGUGUGCAUGCAAGUCAGACCGAGCUGAAGGAAAGGAGAGGAUAGAAUUUGUGCACGCAUGCGAGCGAGCGAGAGAGAGAGAGAGGGAUGGACAGAUAGAUAGAAAGAGAAUGACAGAGAGAUGGUCCUGAAGAGAGAGAGAGUGGUCUGUCAACAGGGUCAUCAGCUCACUCUGCAGUCGGAUCCAUGCACGUGAUGAGCCUUAAACACAAACACACAUACACACAGAAAACAUCAAGAUGAGAAAAACCCAUAAAAUGGAAUUAAACAACUGGCCUCAAGCCCAAAUGGAAGAGGUGCUGCAUGCUGUCAAAUCUGACAAAGAUUAGAGAGCAAACACUGGCGGGUUAUGAAAAAGGUUGGGCGGAAAACCAUUAGAAUGGAAACAGAGAAUCACCUCUCUCUCUCUCUGUCUCUCUCUCACACACACACACACACACACACGCGCACACACACACACAGUUAAUCCUAUGCCCCAAAAUGAUUCUGCCUCUCGUCACUGAACCGCUGCUGACCCUUCCUUCCUCCAUUUAGCUGGCAUUUUGCCAGAGAUAUAAAAAAAAAAAAAUGGAGGGAGUGACAGAGACAGAAAGAGCGUCAGCUGGCUGUUAUACCCAUUCAUGCAAAUAAACCAUAUUUGCACUUCCGAGUGGAGAACAUACGGAGAGGGAGAAGCUGAACAAGAGAGGUCCGGUGUGCUGACGGAACAAAAGGCAACAAGCCGCCCAGCCGAUUGAUCGAGCUAUCGAUCCGUGCACAGAAGCAGCUGGUCAACAGAGCGCACUGGACAGUUAGUCAGACAAUCCACGACAAGGAGCGGAGGACAUAGUGUUCAUCCGAAUCACUUUAGGAUGCUAUACCAUCGGCGUUUAAAGUUUACACGUAAAUCAACCAUGCUGAAAGACCUUUGGAUUAAACACGUCAGGGAUUACAGGCCCCACCCGGUGGUUUCACAUGUUCUGGUCAACCGUUUUCCUAAUGCGUUCAUCAAUUUUUAAGAUCAACUUCGCGGAUUCCGGCUCUUGCCACAAUAGUACGGAGUUGACAUUUACAUUGAUAAUCCACCGAAAUGGGCAUUUCAAGUUGAACAACAUCCAGCAUGCAUACAUACUUCCCUGGCCCAUGGCCCCAUCCCUCCACCAAGUGUGGCACAAACUGGUUCAGUACUUUUGUUUAACCAACAAAACAAACAAAAAAAGACACACCCUCCCUGACGGAGGUAUAAAAAAAAAAGAAGAAGAAACGUCUCACUUCUUUGACAAGCCACGGAAGGACCAGCUUAGCCGCCGAGGAGAGUGUUUAAGAUGAGUGAAGGGAGUUGGUGCAAACUUUGGUGUCAUAUCAUAUCCAUAUUCAUUCCAUAUGUUUGAAGUGGAGAGAGGGCGGCUUUUAAAAUCAUAGCUACAUGGUCUUCAAAGAGAGAGGAGACAUGGGGAAGAGGAGUGUCGAGUGAAUGAGGAACUUCAAAGGGGUUUUUGCGUGCACGCUCACAACCGCACACACACACACACACACACACACACACACACACACACUCCAACUCACGUAGACUGUACUGUAUUUACAUACGUAUGUCUAUUGCCAAAAGAUUCACAGGAAACCGAGAGAGGAGACAAGUUUCUCCACAUGCUACACACUGUUCAGUAACUUUGAGCAUUACCAAAACAAGUUAAAAACGGACAUUUUAAGUUUCCAAGACAGCUGUUUGAAGAGCUCUCUCCGCCAAACAACUGCUCGUAUCCAGGUUCAAACAAGCAAACAAGCAUCCUGGUUUGUCUGCUAAACCUGUCGCUUGAGUCCCAACUUGUAGUCAAGAAGUAAGGCUGUGAGUUAUUGCAUCACAUCAUACGGCCAGUCAUCAUGGGUAAAAAGAGUUGUAACACAGCAGCGUACAGUAUUUUGGAGUGAGCACAGAGGUGCCUUGAUAUUUUCCUAAAAUGAAUGCUGCUAAGCCAAACACUGUGUUACAUAAAACUUCACUACAACUGAAACUCCAAGAAGUCAACAACUCCAAUGAGAAUGCAGCUGCACCAAGAGUCAAGUCAAAUUUUCCUAUACAGCCCAAAAUCACAUCUUUUCCCCCGGAAGGAUUUUCAAUAUGUACAAGAUAAAAGACCAUUUAUCUUCAGCCCCUCGUUUUCUGACGAACAAAUAAAGAAUAAUCAUUCUCCUCGCACCAAUUACGGUAAUCUAUCCAUUUACACCUUUAGCCCGAUGAGCAGUUCUGCCGAGGACAGCCAUGUGAAGGAACACACACUAUGUCUGUGGAUGUGGACUUAUAACCACUAGUGCUGAUGUCUCUCUCUCCGUACGAGACACAUGCCUCAAGCCAAAACAGCCUUUCAUCCUCCCAAAGCCAUGCAUUAUUGAUGAUUAGACCAGAGAGAGACACUGAAACACACUGUGUGAUGGCUGGCUGCAUGGGUGUGUGUGUGUGUGUGUGUGUGUGUGUGUGUGUGACUAAACAGGUGGGCUGGAUUCUCCCAGUGAUUAGCUGGGUAAAUUGUCAGCGAGCCAAUCAAAAAGCAGAUGACGACAGAAAAGCAGCCAUUGGCUCACUCUUGCCACUAUCAUUAUGACAACAACCUCCGUGACCAACUACCAUCUCCAGUGUCUCCAGUAUGUGUGUGGGGUUUUUUUUUUUUUCUUCCUUGUUGCAUAUAACAACAUUUCAUAUGUGUGAUGCCAUCAUUUCAAGUAUUUGCUGAUGCAAUACUUGUGUUUACAAUGAGCCCUGCAGCCUGCAUCGACACAUAGCAAACUUCCUCAGAGAGCUCACUUUUUCAGACCAAUGUUUGCCAGUUAGGCAAAGUAGCGCAGGAUGGCUCAGGGGCCAUUUUAAACACUUGAAAGAAUUAAUUCAAGCAUCACAUUUUUUAAUUAGCUAAUGCAUUUUAUACCAAAAAAAAAUGGAAGGUGAAAAACAUGCAGCCCGUUUACUUUUAGUUGGAGAAUAAUGAGCUUAUUUUAGCAAGAGAAAUAACCCUAUGAGAAAAGCUUCUAAUUUCAAUAAACUGAUUUUCGUAUGUAUGUGGGACACAGCAUAAACUAUCUCACAUCAUGAUUUUACUUUUAAAACAAUAGCUAUUUUUUAGGUGAUUAUAAUAUGGAAAAAUAGUAAGAAUUAGUAAUAAUGAUCAUAACAGUUUCCCACAGGCCUCAGAUUAAGAAUUCAAAUAGCUUGUUUUCUUCAAUGAACAGAGAAGCAGCAAAUCUGCUCAUCAGAGGUAAUUAUUUGAGAUUUUAUUUGAGAUCAUCGUACUGCCAAUUUUUUUUGUCAAUCAACUAUUUGACUAAACAUUGGAAUGCUAUAGGGAUAACUUGAUAUGUAAGAUUUUGUCUUUCAUGCAUUUCUCAAAGAAGGGACUGUUUUAAGAUUGAACAUGAGACUAUGGUUGCCAAGAUAUGGAUUUUGCAGUGCAUUGAUUUUUGUCUGGAGCAGUCAGACAGAAUACGAUGAGUUACAAUUAUUUCUAAUUCUAUGUGAUAUAAACCAAAAUCAACAAUAUAUCAUAUAUAUCAUAUAUCAUAUAUUCUGUAUCAAUUAAUGGCAGACAAAAAAAGUUGCUCGUCUUUCAUUAGCCCUCCUAAUGAAGGAAAUAAAGCAUCACACAGAAGUGAAGAAUUUUCUUUUCUAGAAUAAACUCCCUGACUCUCUGAUUGGGCUGGUGGGUUGAUGCUGAGCCUGUGGGAAUGUGCGGUACAUUGAUGUUUCUAAUGAAGAGCGCUGAGCUCCAUUGAUCCGCCGGGGAUGAGAGUGAGCUGUCAAAAGCUAUCAGGCAAGUCAAAGACCCACUUUCAGCACUGCACAGCUGAAGUGAGCACGAUUCUGUUGGGGCACAAGAAGAGCAGCUAAACCUCUGGAGGCAAAUGAGAAAGAGAAGAGGCGCCUUGAUCCCCACAGAGGGUUAAAGGGCUUAUUUGCUCAAUGAAGGCACAUUAGACAAAUAAAAAUACAGGUUCAGGAUGUGUCAAACAUUGGAAGACUGUUCACACACAAUGCCCCUAGGUCUGUUAAUUCAAGCAUUUCAUUUCUACUAAAAUUGCUGAUUAUUAUUUGUCAGUCUGAAUUAUGUCAAAAACUAGUUUGGAAAACUGCUGAUCAAACUAUUCUAGAGUCUAAGGUGUUCAGUUUACAAAGAACAGCAUAAAAUCCUUCCAUUAGAGAAGCUGGAGAUGUGAAGCAUUUUGCACUUUUUCUGCUUGAGAAAAAUGUCUGAAAUAAUUAAUUGAUUAUUGUAAUAGCUAGACAGUUUUCUGCCAAUCAACUAGUCAGGGAAACAACUGUUUUGUUUCUAAUGCCAACGUUAAAUGAGUAUAUGAAACACCAUGUCUACUUAUUAAACAUUUUUAUUUAUAGAGCCCAUUGGCAGUUACAUAUCUUGGAUGGUGAUGUCUGCAGUGUUGUACUGUACCUAUACAUAAUGCAACUUAAUGACCUCACAAUUUAUCGCACAGAUACUAAAAUUAAAUGCAGGAUUAGACUGGAUUAAAACGGAACUCAGAUGGGAGGGUGGUAUGAUGCAGCUCAGAUACAGGAUAUGAGUAAAUGGGAGGCCUGGUUUACUUCCUGUGUACACUGUACAGUAAUAAACGAACUGAACUUUU